GUCGGUUGGUGGCCGUUGAUCUUUCUCGCCCCCUUGGGAUGUGGGGUGGGCGGAGCGGCGGGGAGCGAGGCGAUCCCUCCGGAAGGCGCUGCCCGUCCAGGGAGGGCCAGGGGCGGUCUGGCGGUGCGGGAGGAGGCCGAGAGAGCUGGCGGCACAGGGGUUUGCGAUACUCCGUGUUGCCCGGGCCUGGCUUCGCCGGGCUUGUGGGCUGCGGGGGCCGGCUGCGCGUCGCUCUCUAGCCCGAGUCUGCCUCAUAGGUCUGCGGCGUGUCUGAGCUGCAGCGAUUUUCCUGUGCUGCUCCUGUGUUGUUACCCCGCUCUCAUGACACCUUUGGCACCAGCUCUUGUGCCCUUGCAAACUCCAGUAGAGGUUUUUGCGGUGGAUUUCUGUCACAGAGCGAUUUUGAUUGAUGGGAGGUUCACCUCCCCCUUUUCUACCCUGAAAAAACUUAGGGGAUAGUACAUAAUAGUAGCUUAAAUAAAUAUUAUUCAAUAAUAAUCGCACAUGAAGCUUAACAGUGUGUAGCAGUUGCACAGUGUUGUCCAACUGUGCUCCAGUCAGGGCUGGUGCUGUUGCAGGUAGGAAACACACGCUGGGAGCACGUGGUAAAAAUUGUGACCUUAAUCUUCACUUUUGUCACCUCCAGAUGUGCUGUAGAGAGCACCUAGAGAAGUACACUUGGGGAUCCCAUCUCAGAGGAGGCUCCCCCCUCUGCCUGUCUUUUCCUCUGUCUCUCUGUCCCUUGUUUUUCCAUAAGGCAGCUUGAGUCAGUGUUUUACUGUCAACAGUGGACUCUGCAAAUAAAAAUCUGUUUGUGUGGACCUGCCUCGAUAUUUUGUGCAAUGCCAACACAGGGAAAUGUUGGGAAACCAAAACAAAAAUUCAUGCCUGCUUAUAAUCAACGAAAGCCAAGUUAGAGCUAUAAAGCAAAUUUUAGUAUGGUCCUGAUUUCAGAAAGGUGCCAUCAGAACAAAAGGACGGAUGAAAGACAAGAAUUAGAAUCAGGAAAAUUAGGCUGUUUCUCCUCAGUGUGAGCUGGACUUGAGCAAUAAAGAGGAAACUGCAAAAUAAAUCUGUAUCUUAAUCUUCCGUUUUACUUUUGUUCCUGAAGGAGUUUUAUUGCCAAGAGCCAAGAGACCAAUACAACAUCAGAAACUUCAAGAGAUGUCACAAGAAGAAUGGAAAGAAUGGGACACAGGCAGGAUGGGGCAGAAGGAAUGAACUUUUCAUCUGAACAGCUGGGACCAACCACAGAACAAAGUCAGGCUGGUUUAGGUAACAAAAGAAAAAUAAAGCAGAUGUUUAGAUGGAGUCUCCCUGCAGCAGAGUGAUAACUUAAAUACAUCCAUUUACUGUAUUUGUAACGUGCAUUUUUGUGUUGGUGAUGAUGUAAUACAGCAGUGGGCUCUGGCCUGUGUCAGGGCUGGAGCAUCCCCCUGCUCCUUGGAGCACAGCUGUGUGCUCGAGGCUGGCUGGCUGGCUGAUGGAAGAUGCCUUGGCCAGCCUGAGAGCUUUUCAAGAGAAGAAAUCCCAGUAGGGGCUCCGCUACUUUUUCUCGGGAGAUGGUUUUAGGCUGAGGCUCUUGCAUCUGGUCCCUGCCUGAGCUGCAACCCCAGGAGUGUCACAGCCCUGCCCAUGCCUGGCCUUGGGUCCUAAUGACACGGUCUUCAGCUCUCGCUGCACCCUGAUGACCCAGACCAGUGCUUCUCCCCUCACCGCAGUUGAGCUACGGGCAUGACUGAGCUCUGCUAGAUGGCCACCCAUUACUACUUCUUAGUAUUCUAAAUCUUAUCAGAAUUACAGUACCAAGAGUCUUUCUAAUAAGUUUGUAUUAUAAAAUAAUUCCAUUUACACAUUUGCUUCGUGCGAUAGCUGUAUCACAUAAUUCUGAUCCAUUUGAUAUGCUGCAUGGUUGAUAUUUUCAAUAAAGAUCUUUCAAACCCA